AUAAGUCAAUGUAAACGCAUAACGUUAUUUUAUUCACAUAUACAAAGUGGUAUGACAAAAAAGCACGAUGCCAAAUCGGGUUUUUUUCUGUUAGUUGCGAAUGUAUUCGUUAUAGUAGUUAAUUUGCUAGUCCACGGAUGUUCCCGCCGAAAUUGGACUUCGUUAUUAUGAAUAUUAAUAAAUUAAUAUGAGGUGUGUUUUUAUCAACUUAACCACUUGGUUGUUUUUGCUUCAGAAAAGCAACUAGUUAUAAAUGUAAGCGCUUUUUUGGACAACUUCGGUGAAAAAGUGUUGAUUUCGUAGUUCAGUCAGCGUAACUUAUAUCCGAGAGGUCUUACAGGCGCCACAGACACCUAUCAGCCUUUUGUAAGGAGGAGCAGCUCGAGUGCGGUGCGGUCAGUAGCCCUUCAAAUUAGAAAAGUGAGGAUGAUCUUGUCAAUGCUGAGAUUUUCAUGCAUCAGCAGCCACUACAUCUGGAUCAGAUUGAACAAGAAACAGACAGCAAGGGUUGUCAGGUCAGAAACAGAAUGACACACAAACACAAGAAACUUCACAGGCAGAUCAACAUGCAAUUUGAAGAUGUGUGAUAAAAUACAGAGAGGUGAAGUAGUGUGUCUUUCCAGAUGCCCAAAUCAUUCCCCCUUAAAAGAUGAGCCUGAAGAGGAGAUUUGGGAAGAUGCUGUUUCAUAAGUCGCUUUGCCAGAUCACCUGUGGUAAGUCGGGAUGUCUGCUAACAAGAUGCCUUGCUGGUCUGAGCGAGUUUAAAGUCUUACACAGACAGUCCAGAAGUUCUGAAGUCCAUCUUCGAUUUCAUUGGUAAAGGACUACACAAAAGGCUGUUUGACCCACACGUAAAGCAACCUGUCAGUGUUUGCUUUGUUAAGCAUCUCAUUUGGGCGUGUUGAAAAUAUAAAGUUAAUAUCACUUAAGCAUUCAGUAUUGGAUUCAUUUGUAACCAAAUCGAUCAGAAGCACCAUUC